GCAGGGGCUGAGCAUUGGCGAGCUUCGCUGGCUGUAAACCAGUCGCCCGAAGGGGCUGUGUUGGUUCGACUCCAACCUCCUGCACCA
rnacentral:tRNA from 1 species